CCACAACAUGAGGAACUGUAUUAAAGGGUCGCGCCAUUAGGAAGGUUGAGAACCACUGUAAUAGAGCAAAAGAAAAAAUUAAGUUAAAUGAUCAUUAUUAUUAAAUGACGAAUUAAAUUUGAAAAUAAAUAUUUUGUAAAAAAUAAAUUUGAAUAAUUAUUAGAAGCUGAAAUUAUAUUGCAAAUGCAAGCUAAUAUCAAUUUUACAUUUACACUGAAUAUUCAGAAAUGAAAUUUGAAAAAUAAUUUUUUAUAAAUGAUAUGUUGAUUCUAAAAGCAGGAAAAUAUUCAUGAAACAAUAACAACAUCGUACCCAUAUACCAAUGGGAGGAUGAUAGUAAUGAGAGAGAAAGGAGAAAAUAAAAACUUCAUUCACAUACUAAUAUGCUUUAUCCUUAUUUCUACAUACUAAAUCAUUUUCUACAUAUUGGUGCUCUUUUUCAUAUAUGUAUCUUAUUCACAUUCUAAAAUUUAUACCUUAUCAGAUACUCAUUUACAUGUUGUCUACUCUUUUCAGAAUACAG
rnacentral:lncRNA from 1 species